rnacentral:rRNA from 1 species
AUUGAACGCUGGCGGCAGGCCUAACACAUGCAAGUCGAGCGGAUGAAGGGAGCUUGCUCCUGGAUUCAGCGGCGGACGGGUGAGUAAUGCCUAGGAAUCUGCCUGGUAGGGGGGGAUAACGUCCGGAAACGGGCGCUAAUACCGCAUACGUCCUGAGGGAGAAAGUGGGGGAUCUUCGGACCUCACGCUAUCAGAUGAGCCUAGGUCGGAUUAGCUAGUUGGUGGGGUAAAGGCAUACCAAGGCGACGAUCCGUAACUGGUCUGAGAGGAUGAUCAGUCACACUGGAACUGAGACACGGUCCAGACUCCUACGGGAGGCAGCAGUGGGGAAUAUUGGACAAUGGUCGAAAGCCUGAUCCAGCCAUGCCGCGUGUGUGAAGAAGGUCUUCGGAUUGUAAAGCACUUUAAUUUGGAAGGAAAAGCAUUAAGUUAAUACCUUGCUGUUUUGACGUUACCAACAGAAUAAGCACCGGCUAACUUCGUG